AAGGUUGAUGAUGAUAUUAUUCGUACCGCCCCAGUCUGAUAUAAUAUGACGAUUGGUAUACUAUCUGAAUUAUU